UGUGUGCUGAGGUACAUUUAUGGCGCCAAUUCUUAUUUUGUGAGCUAAUAAUGAAUAUGCGCCAAAGGCCGAACAGCGAGUUGACUUAUAUAAUUUACGGUUCGUGGAACUAACUGCAACGCAAUUAGAAAUAUUAUGUGAAAAACGCCGGGUAACUCUUACAGGUGAUUUUGCGGACAGCGCGCUGCAGUAGAAUGUUCCCACUGUGAGAUAGUGGAAGAGUACAAUUCCCGAAUGAAGAGAUGUGAGCGAGAGAGUGCCGUGAUACGAGGGGCGGCUGAAAAGUUUUGAGCCUAAGUAUCUUCAAGUGUUAUUAUUGACUCGCGCUAAAUUUAAUUAAUUUGCCAAUAACCUCCUUAGUAUAUGUACAAAGUUUUAUUUCAUUAGCGUCAUCACGCUUUUACUAAUUAAUUCGUAAACAUCAUGUCUCAGUCAUCCGCGCAAUGUACGAAAUUGAAGUACACAGUUGUCAUAAAAUUCCUCAAAAAGAGGAACAAACCGCUGACGGUAACAUUUGAUGAGAUGUUUACAGUUUAUGGGGAGUCUGGGCCUUCAUUUGCCAUCAUGAAAGAUUGGAUCCGAUAGUUCAAGCAUGGCAGGGAGUCGCUAAAAGAUGACCGCAAGUCAGGGCGGCCAGAUUUCGCCAUUAACGAAUAAAAUAAUGAAAAUUUUAUGAAUCUUGCUUUAGAGAUCAGCGAAUUAAGCUGUGACAGAUAGCUGAAGCUGUAAAUAAGAAAUUUUUGCCGGAGCAAAAUAAAAACUAGAUAAAAAAAGAAGGGAUGGAUCGUUGGGCCGUGCAAGAAAGGAUUUUUUCCUGGCGGCUUGGUGACUGGAAUUGAACCGCCACCGGUGCAGACUGAGAAGAUGGUGAAUUGUCUGCACGUGAAAAGAGGUUGUCCGGCUUGCAGAAAUUUAUAAGAGUUACCGUUCCUUGUAUGAGAUUAAAAAAAUGUAAAUAAAACAGCUCCCUCUCAAUUGACACAAUUUAUUUUGUCUCGUAAGCUUGAAUACAGUUGACAGUUACGAUAUUAUAACUACUGUAAUAGAUAGUGCCAAUCUCAAGGGAUUCAGGGUCGUUAAUUAGGUUCGGUUUGGUGAAUAUUAUUGCCACUACAAAUUUCUUAAAACAGCCUAAAUAUUAAGACUCUACUAGUUAAGAUAACUGCGCGAUGUCAGGUCGGAAAGACUCCUACUUGAAGGAUGGAAAAGUGGGUACCUUGGAAGCCAUGCGGUUAUAAGCCGUUACCCUGAACGUUCCUCUCUUCUUCUGGGGUCCAACGGGUCUCGCACACUUUUAGGCUACAAGCAGCGUCCUCCACGGCCUCAAGCGCGCAGUGCCAGAUGAAGCUCUUGCAUCUCCUCGACAGGUAAGCGUUCAAACUCUUGCAGAGACAGAGGUUUGAUGACAAGGAGGAAAUGCGAAGAGAUCAGCAGUUUAGAAAGGAGAAACAAUUCAUACGAAAUGAAAAGAAAUUAAUAUCAUUAAAUAUCCCGCAUGAAGACUGCUCGCUAUUUGAACUUCACUUGCAGUCUUCAGCAUCCCAACCCUCAUCCAAAAUAACGUUUAGGAAAUUUCUCAUGUGUGUUAAUUUUUAAAAUUUAUUAAGAAAUUAUCAUGGAUGCAUUUUGCAUCACCCGAUUUGAAAUACAGAGAAUUACAUUCCCGAAAAUAAUACAAUUGCGGUUGCGCACGAUCGACCAAAAUUCCAAAGUGAUUUUACAGCUCAACUGACAGUCGCGAGUCCAUCGACAUCGCGAGACGUUUCGUUUCGCCGCUUAAAAAAAAGUAAAUACAUACUAAUAAAAACCAUAAUGAAAACAAUUUUCAGAACACUGAAAAUAUUCUAUUUAAAAAUAGAAUAAUCAAAAUAAAAACAUUAGGAAAUGUUUCAUUAAAAUAUAUUUGAAUUGACUGAGCAAAAAGCGCCAUCUAUUGCAAACCACUUCUAAAUCACGCCAAUAGAUGUCGUUAGUGGUAUCCUAAAUCCGAAUAUCGAGUAAGAAAAUCAAUUUGUGAAAAACAGCUGAGCUGCAACGUUACAGUCUCAACUAAUUCGUUAAUGUAAAUCAAUUGGGAAUUUGUCAAAAAUGAUAAACACCGGCAGUCCAGCAUGUCCAAAAAUUAUCUUAUUUUCCAAAAACGAAAAUAAAACCUACUAUCCACCUAGAGGUGCUGAAGACGUUUUGUAUGACUAAAGGAUUUUAUUGUCUGGUACCACAGCUGGUACAGGCGCUUUCAAGGCAUUCAAUUUGAAAUUGCAAUUCGUCAAAGCGAUUCAUAGCUGAUUCAACAUCUUGUAGCCGUACACGUAGUUCAGAGGCAUCCUGAUGUUCCGGGUCGAAGGCAUUCUUGUUAUUUUGCCUUUUACCGUGCACGUUGGUUUCUUAGAGUUUCACUUAAUUCCAUUGUGGAAGUGCACUGUGGUGCUAAUUGUUGUAGUUGGGUGCACUGUGAUGCUUUUUGUUGUUGUAAUAUUCCUGAAAUCUUACAAAUUUUCACUUUUUUUCGUUUGCACACGCAAUAUGGCGGAGGGAGAGUUGUCUCUGCAGCUACCCCCGUAGUAGCGUCGUUUUGUUUUGUUAUGUGGGUGGCUGCUACAUGGUCGGAAGGUGUCAAAACCGACGAAGAUUCAUAACUCAGUCAAACCAAUAUUUAUCUGAUACAGACAUAAAGAAAACUCUUUGGUUAUGUGCUCGGCUGUAAGCCGACUUCUAUUAUUUGGUCCUACUUUGCACAAUUAGCAAGAUAAUUAUUAUAAUAACAUUGAAGUUGGUUCGAAUGGGAAAUAUUGACUGACAAUAACAAACACCCCAUGGUCCAUUCCAUCAUUCAUUACAGAUGCAAUUUUUAUGUGGAUAUUAUAUUUAUGAAAUAAUAAUAAAACAAUUAUAAAACAGA